UACGUAGGGACCGAGCGUUGUCCGGAAUCAUUGGGCGUAAAGAGCGUGUAGGCGGCCACUUAAGUCCUGCGUGAAAUCUUGCGGCUCAACCGCAAGCGGUCGUGGGAAACUGGGUGGCUAGAGUGCGGGAGAGGAGAGUGGAAUUCCUGGUGUAGCGGUGGAAUGCGCAGAUAUCAGGAAGAACACCAGUGGCGAAGGCGACUCACUGGACACGUAUUGACGCUGAGGUGCGAAAGCGUGGGGAGCAAACAGG
rnacentral:rRNA from 1 species